GGAACUGUGCCCGAAUGCCCAAGGACCACUUUGAUAGAGUGAUUGAUGGGGGUUAGAGUCCCCUCAGUUCUU
rnacentral:tRNA from 1 species